AAACUAAUAUAUCGUUGACCAGGAUACCUCACGCAUACGACACUGAAUACUGAACUCAACCGAAUAUGAAACCAAGCACAAUCAUUAUUCUUGGAGUCCUAGCACUGGUGUGUCUAUUGGACUCAUGGGCUGAAGGUAGACAUUACAUCGGAGAAUGCUACAAGAGAAGGCGUAGCUGUUAUUCUGCACCAUGUAAAAGAAAAUGUCAAUUGCUUUUUGGAGAGGAUGGUCAUUGCAAGCGAACGAGGCGAUGUCCGAGAAAGAGGCGAUACAAAUGUAGAUGUGACAUUAAACGCUCUCGCUCCGAUGAUUGACGUAAAAAUGAACAUGAGUGUUGCUAUCUUCCAGUUUGCUCCUCUGUGCUAAUUAUGAAAUGUUAACUGUAGUGCAUUUCUAUUUAUGAAUUGACCUGAUAAAAAUGGCGUAUAACCGUACAAGAUUUCUUUUUAAACUUUAUGAUUGUGUAGAAAAUUGUAGAAUUUUGACCACACAUCACAUCAUUCUAUUCACAAGUCAAUAAAAAGUAUGACUGAGAGGCGAAAAUAACGAAAA